GUCGAGUGAUCCGGCGCCGAAGAUUUCCGGGGCUAAAACUUACUACCGAAGCUACGGCAUCAGUAAUGAUGGGUAGGGGAGCUUCCCAUACGGGUUGAAGCAUGACCGUAAGGACAUGUGGACAGUAGGGGAGUGAGAAUGUUGGCAUGGGUAGCGAGAUGUGGGUGAGAAUCCCACAGGCCGUAAACCCAAGGUUUCCAGGGGAAGGUUCGUCCGCCCUGGGUUAGUCGGGACCUAAGCUGAGGCCGAAAGGCGUAGGUGAUGGACAACAGGUUGA
rnacentral:rRNA from 1 species